GACGGAGAGUUCGAUCCUGGCUCAGGAUGAACGCUGGCGGCGCGCCUAACACAUGCAAGUCGAACGGCACCCUUCUUCGGAAGGAAGCGAGUGGCGAACGGCUGAGUAACACGUGGAGAACCCGCCCCCCUCCCGGGGAUAGCCGCCGGAAACGGCGGGUAACACCCGAUGACCCCGCGCCAGGGCAUCCCGGCGCGGGCAAAACUCCGGUGGAGGGGGAUGGCUCCGCGGCCCAUCAGGUAGACGGCGGGGUGACGGCCCACCGUGCCGACAACGGGUAGCCGGGUUGAGAGACCGACCGGCCAGAUUGGGACUGAGACACGGCCCAGACUCCUACGGGAGGCAGCAGUGGGGAAUCUUGCGCAAUGGGGGCAACCCUGACGCAGCGACGCCGCGUGCGGGAUGGAGGCCUUCGGGUCGUAAACCGCUUUCAGCAGGGACGAG
rnacentral:rRNA from 1 species